GGCUGAGGCAAGAGGAUCUCAACUUCAAGACCAGCCCAGCUGCCUUGAUGUCCUGAACUGAUCCAAAACGUUUCCCUUGUAUGGUUAUUUUGAUUUGGAGGAAGAGCCAGAAGUCACACAGCGAUCAGAUCCGAUACACCUGGUUGUGGAGGUGGCAACACAUGAACAGUAUCCAGUUCCAUUCCUUUCCUUCUCUCCAUGCCCACAGGUAGCAGGGGAUGGACUGGGAGGGCGGUUUGCCCAGGAAGAGGUGUCAUUGGGUGAGGGCAGACAAGGGGGAAGGCAGAGGGCUCCACCUUGGUCUCUAUCUCUAGCUGCAGAGAAGAGGGAGGAGCCCUGGAGGGAACACUCACAACCACAAACCUGCAAAAGGAAGCCCUGGCCACUGCUUGGAGGGGUACAGAGACCCUCAGGGUGCUGGGGAUGAAGAGUCAAGCAGUUCAUUGUCAGGGAGCACUGCGGCAGGAGGAGGAGGGGGGCAGAUGGAAGAGACACUGAGGAAGUGUGGGGUCGCAGCUCAGGGCUAGAGCGCUUGCCUAGCAUCCUGGAUUUGAUCCUCAGCCCUGGAAAAAACAUGACGGAGUUCACUGUAUCCUCUGAAGACAGAGGGAUGGAUGCUUGGCUCUCGCCAAAUAAAAGGCUUAAAUAAACCAGCACAAAGGAUUAUCCACACGUGUGGCCCAAAGAUCAGUGUACAAGACCCCAUGGAUAGGUUUCAGAGUGGCUAAAGGGCACUGCCAGUAAUAAUAGCAUUGACCCCAUGUAGUGCUUUAUAGGAGGUGGGAUGAAAAUAUAUGGUGAACCGGGCGUGGUGGCACACACCUAUAA